GGGUCAGUAGGUUGGUCGUGCCACCGGUGCGUACUGGCCUCACUGAUUCCUCCUUCCUGAAGAACCGUAAUGCCAUUAAUUUGGUGUUGCGGGGAAACAGGACUGUUACUUUGAAAAAAUUAGAGUGUUUAAAGCAAGCUAACGCUUGAAUACAUUAGCAUGGAAUAAUGAAAUAGGACGAUCGAUCCUAUUUUGUUGGUUUCUAGGAUUGACGUA
rnacentral:rRNA from 1 species